CUCGGGCUCCGCUCGCGCACCUUGCGGGUCUCUCGCCUCCAUCGCGGCCGGGGCGGGCCGUCCCUACGCUGGCGGCGGCGGUGGUGCACAGGCGCGCGGCGGUUAAGUAGUCCGCGGGCCGUGCGCCGCGGGGCUGGGAGCAGGGCGGCGCUGCCCCAGCGGAGAGCCCAAAUAACCUCCCUGCCUCGGGGGGUGCUGGGGGUACGGUGCCGGCCAGGAGGUGUGGCUGCGACUGUCCUGCUCCCCUCUCUAGCAUGGGCUCCAGCAGCGAGGGCAAUGCUUGUUGUGCCUUGAUUUUGCUUCCCCCGCCCCCCCCCCCGUUUCCUCCUGAGGAGCUGGGGCCCAGGAGCACCGUGUGCCCCAACUGCCCAUGCUACCCUGUGCCAAGGAGUGUCCGCCAAAAGGCUUGGGAGUCCCCAUCCUUGCUGCCACUGAGAGUGUCCCAGAGGGGUUUGCACCCAAGGAAACCAGCUGGCAUUGCCCUUUUUUCUCCGCCCACAAAAGUGAUUUGACACUGGAGUUGCAUCAACCGAAUAGCUCAGAGAGCCUCCCCUCUGCACUGAGGUCUGUUUUGCAGCCAAGCCAGGGGUCUAACAACCAGGCUGCCCAUAACCUGCUUGCUGUUGGUGUGUGCCUUUUCUCCCCUGAUUAUCUUGCUCUGCCCUUCCCUCCCCACCGCGUCCCACAGCAACCUCCGGCCCGCGCUGCCGCCACCGGGAACGAAGCUCCCCCCCUCCCCCGCGCGAGAGCUGGGGAUAACGAGAGGGAGGGACGGACGGGGGCAGAGACCCGCACGCAGCCGCCCCCAGGACAGAGCUGCGAGGAGUCGCCGGCCCUGGAGCUGAGGGAGAGGAGUAUGCUGCUGAUGGCCAGCCAGCUUGCCACGCUGGACCGAGGAGCGCUCAGCCCGCGAUCGCGGGGUCCUGGCUGGCACCCUGUCUCAGCUGCCUCAGUUUCUUCCACCGUUCCCACAUCUUCUGGCAAAGCCUUCUGUGAACUGCUGCUGUGGGACAGCAUGCCCUCCUCAGGUGCAGGAAGGGAGGGGAGAGGUGGGAUGCCCCCAGCCACCUGCUUGUGUGUGUGAAGCUUUGAUGCUGCUUUGCCCUGCCACACGUAUUAUACCUGCUUUAAAAAUAGUGUGCGUGGAAGGAGGAAAAGGGGAGGGACCAACCUCUUUGUAUCUUAAAGGAAAAAAGCGUGCUUCAGAAACGUUCCUCCAGCGUCAGGCAGCAAUGGAAACUAACGGCCUUUUUGGGUCUUUUCUAGUCUUGGAUGUAGGCGUUCAGCUUCAAUUUUAUUUUUUAAAACCUGCACUAAUUUACCUGGUUUCUUAGGAAGAGAAGAGAGAAUUUUUUUUUAACUUUUAUUUUUUAUGGGUUUGUGUUCUUUUUGUUGAUGUCCGUUUGUAUUGAAUAAUUUGCUACAUUUGUAAAAUGUAAGAGGUAUAUAUAAUAUAUGUAUAUUUCUAACGUAAAAAAAUUGUAAUUUUUUUCUUUUCAAGAUUUUUUCUUAAAAAGAGGAGAGAAAAAUAUUUUUUCAGGAAAAAACUUUAAAAAAAGAAGCAGUGAAGAUUCCUUUCUCCCCACUCAGCCUCCCUCCUUUCCCUCCCAACCCUCUCUGAGGAGUGAAUUGACAGUCGUCUUGAGGAGAGAAUGAGUGAAAGAGGACAGAAGUCUGUAUGUCUCUGAGUGGAGGGUUUCUGUGUGUGCUCUGCUUGGGUUUCUUUCCAAGAAGGGGGCUACUGAGAGGGGGAACCAGGGGGUUGCUGUCUUUUUUCUUUUUUUUUUUUUUCUUUAGCGAAGGAGGAAUACAAUCAGAGUUUUGUAUUCAGAAUGUUGUGCAAUAUUUUGGAACGGGACAUUGGUGUGUCUAGAGAUUUAGUUAAAAACAAAAACAAAAAGGUUGAUCAAAUCUGUACAGUUUCUAUUGUUCCAGAUUUUUUUAAGUUUGUAUUAAAAGCAUGAUAUAAUAAUUGGUUGUCAUGUGUUGUGUGCUCAGUGGGGAGAGAACACCUCUGUGGUUGCCUCUCCCUGAGAGUAGGCAGUGAUGCUGGUG
ensembl:lncRNA